rnacentral:sRNA from 1 species
CAUUUGCUAACAACCACUUUCUUUAUUAACAAACCAAAUCUUUGUUUCAAAUACAAAUAAGUUCCAUAAUUAAAGUUCUACAAAAUACUACAGUAAUACAACUAUCCAUAAUUAAAGUUUGGGACUAUAUCUGGUGUACGAAGUUUUACAAACUGCACUUUUGAAUCGCUUUCGGUGCAUGUAAUACUUCAUAACAAUUUCAUUGCUGCAAUCUUCUCCCUACAUCCAAAGUUGUUGCAAUUCUCAUGUUGGUUACAUGGGGUACUGUAACCACCAUAAUAUUUAUUUUUCUCCUCAAGCAACUUAGUCUUCAAUGCUUCAAACUCUUUUUCAAGUGCUUUAAUUUCAACUACUUGUUCCUCUAAAACACCAUCUAAACCAUCAUCAAUAUCUUUUUUCUGUUUUUUAUUGGUUGCUGACCUUGAAUGUGCUUUCUUCCUUUCUUCCUCUCCAGCUGGACUAAAUGAUGCUCUCACAAAUGGCUGACUCAUACCUUGUUGGAGGAACCAAUGUCAGGGGUCGAAGCCAUUGUACAAAAUAACGAACAAAGAACCACAAACUUCAAAAAACCCUUCCAUUGAGACCGGUUAAAGCAGACCACGAACUCCACAAACAAAACUGCACCACACCAACUCAAAUGGGUACACAGUCAACACAACAAACACACAAAAUGAAAUGAAAAUCAAAAACCUGAAAAUGGAAGACGAAAAAGAGAGUGUGAAGGAGAACGAGAGUGAUGGAACAGAGAACGAGAGUGGUGGGGCAGAGAAGAACGACUGUGUGAAGGAGAGACAACGAAAAUUUGAAAAAGAAAUC